rnacentral:rRNA from 1 species
UACGGAGGGAGCUAGCGUUGUUCGGAAUUACUGGGCGUAAAGCGCACGUAGGCGGCGAUUCAAGUCAGAGGUGAAAGCCCGGGGCUCAACCCCGGAACUGCCUUUGAAACUAGAUUGCUAGAAUCCUGGAGAGGUUAGUGGAAUUCCGAGUGUAGAGGUGAAAUUCGUAGAUAUUCGGAAGAACACCAGUGGCGAAGGCGACUAACUGGACAGGUAUUGACGCUGAGGUGCGAAAGCGUGGGGAGCAAACAGGAUUAGAUACCCUGUAGUCC